rfam:Myotis brandtii contig210763, whole genome shotgun sequence.
GGCGGUUCUCAGGUGACACCCUGGAAUUGGGCUCCCUCCUCUCUGGUUCCGGGUGCGUCACCUGAGAACCGCA